GAUGAACGCUGGCGGCGUGCUUAAUACAUGCAAGUCGAGCGAACAGACGCUGCGCUUGCUCCUUUCUCGUUAGCCGCGGACGGGUGAGAAACACGUGUAUCAUCCACUUAUAUGUCUGGGAUCAUCUCGGGAAUCCGGCGCUAACCCCGGAUAAUCUCCUGCACCGUAUGGUUCAAUAGUGAAAUACGGCUUUGCUGUCUCUUAUCGCUGGAUCCGCGCCGCAUUAGCUAGUUGGUACGGUAACGGCGUAUCAAGGCUACGAUGCGUAGCCGACCUGAGAGGGUGAGCGGCCACACUGGAACGGAGACACGGUCCAGACGCCUACGGGAGGCAGCAGUAGGGAAUCUGCCGCAAGGGGCGAAAGCCUGACGGAGCAACGCCGCGUGAGUGAUGAAGGUCUUCGGGUCGUAAAUCACUGUUAUUAGGGAGGAACAAAUGUGUAAGUAACUAGGCACGUCUUGACGGUACCUAAGCAGAAAGCCACGGCUAACUACGUG
rnacentral:rRNA from 1 species